GCAAGGUUGGGGAACAAAAGAGAAAUUGAAGGAGCUUCAAGGUUGGCCAACUUCACCAAGUAAAUGCCCAUUUGAUCUCUUCAAAAUGUUGAUUCUAGUGUUUGAAAUCGAUGUGAAGUGGUUGUUGGGGAGAUAUCCAAGUGCUUGGAAGAAAUGUUAGUAUGGGGAA